GCGAGUGAAGCGGCAAAAGCUCAAAUUUGAAAUCUGGUACCUUUGGUGCCCGAGUUGUAAUUUGGAGAGUACCACUUUGGGACUGUACUUUGCCUAUGUUCCUUGGAACAGGACGUCAUGGAGGGUGAGAAUCCCGUGUGGCGAGGGUGUCAGUUCUUUGUAAAGGGUGCUCGAAGAGUCGAGUUGUUUGGGAAUGCAGCUCUAAGUGGGUGGUAAAUUCCAUCUAAAGCUAAAUACAGGCGAGAGACCGAUAGCGAACAAGUACAGUGAUGGAAAGAUGAAAAGAACUUUGAAAAGAGAGUGAAAAAGUACGUGAAAUUGUUGAAAGGGAAGGGCAUUUGAUCAGACAUGGUGUUUUGCGCCCCUUGCCUCUCGUGGGCUUGGGACUCUCGCAGCUCACUGGGCCAGCAUCGGUUUUGGCGGCCGGAAAAAACCUAGGGAAUGUGGCUCUGCGCCUCGGUGUAGAGUGUUAUAGCCCUGGGGAAUACGGCCAGCCGGGACCGAGGACUGCGAUACUUGUUAUCUAGGAUGCUGGCAUAAUGGUUAUAUGCCGCCC
rnacentral:rRNA from 1 species